rnacentral:rRNA from 2 species
GUCUUUUUGAGUUAUUUUUAAAGUCUGACCUGCCCACUGAAAUUUUAAAUGGCCGCAGUAUUCUAACUGUGCAAAGGUAGCAUAAUCAUUAGUCUUUUAAUUGAAGGCUGGUAUGAAUGGUUGGACGAAGUAUAAACUGUUUCACAUAAAUUUAUAAUAGAAUUUUAUAUUUUAGUUAAAAAGCUAAAAUAUUGUUAAAAGACGAGAAGACCCUAUAAAUCUUUAUAUUUUAUAUAAAUUAAAUUUUUUUGAUUUUUUUGGUUUUUAGUAUAUAAAAUAUUUUGUUGGGGUGAUAUUAAAAUUUGAUAAACUUUUAAUUAUUUUAAAUCAUUAAUUUAUGAAUUAUUGAUCCAUUAGUAGUGAUUAUAAGAUUAAGUUACUUUAGGGAUAACAGCGUAAUUUUUUUGGAGAGUUCAUAUCGAUAAAAAAGUUUGCGACCUCGAUGUUGAUUAAGAUAUAUUUUUAGGUGUAGCUGCUUAAAUAUUAAGUCUGUUCGACUUUUAAAUUCUU